GCGUGAAUCUGAGAGGCGGAGCUUGCAGUGAGCGCAGAUUGCGCCACUGCACUCCAACCUGGGCGACAGAGCGAGACUAUGUCUAAAAAAAAAAAAAAAAAAAAAAAAAUGGAGUCCAGAAGGCAGUGGGAUGACAUGUUGAAAGUGAUGGGAAAAAAAAAGGCUACCAAUAAGAAAUUCUGUAUAUAAUAAAACUAUCCUUCAACAAUGAAGGAAAUAUUAAGACAUUUCUGAUAAACAAAGAGUGAUAGAAUUCAUUACUAGCAGACUUGCCCUACUAGAAAAAUGAUAGGAAAUUUUUUCAUCUUAAAUGAAAGGACACAAAAGCACAUGAAAAAAUAAGGAUCACAAAUAAUAAAGGUCAAUAUAAAAUACAUUACCAGACACAGAAAGACCAAUAUCACAUGAUCUCAAUUCAUAUGUGGAAUCUAAAAAAACUGGUUUAGAUGUGGAACAUCUAAAUGAUAUAUCCUUUCUUCUAAGCUAUAUAACUAUCUAAAUUAUAUAAUUUCAUCUAAAUUAUAUAACCAUUACCAGGGUGUGGAUGCAGUGAACAGGCAACACUUUUACACUGCUGGUGGGAAUGUAAACUAGUACGACCACUGUGGAAAUUCCUUAAAGAGCUAAAAAGUAAAACUACCAUUGAUCCAGCAAUCCCACUACUGGGUAUCUACCCAGAGGAAAAGAAGUCAUUACAUGAAAAAGUUCUCUCAGAUCCAUUCUUAACCCUUCUCUAGCCUUGCUUAGCAUCACAGAUAAUUACAUUUCCCAGGAUCCAUUGCAAAUCGAACACACCCAGAGAAGGUCUUGGUGUGGGCCAGGGAAGAGAGAAGGUAAAGCUGGGCUAGCUUUUUGGUCUAUUUUUACUGUGUCUUGUCUUCCCAACUAGCAUAUGAGUGCUUAGGAUACGAACUUUAUUUUUUGGUGCAGUUUUAGGUUAACAGAAAAAUUGAGUAGAAGGUACAGGGAUUUUCCAUAACUUCCUUACCAUAAUUACGCAUAGCUUCUCGCACUAUCAAAAUUCCACACUAGAGUGAUAUUUUUAUUAUAAUCAAUGAACCUGCAUUGAUACCCCAUUAUCAUCCAAUGUCCAUAGUUUACAUUAGAGUUCACUUUGGUGUUGUACAUUCUAUGGCUAUUGACAAAUGGAUAAUGAUAUGUAUCCACCAUUGCAGUAUCAUGCAAAGUAGUUUCACUGCCCUAAAAAGCCAUUGUACUCUGCUUAUUCUUCCUUCUUUCUGCCCUAACUCCAGGCAAUCACUGAUCCUUUUACUAUCUCCACAGUUUUGCCUUUUCUAGAAUGUCAUAUGGUUGGUAUCACACAGUAUGUAGCCUUUUCAGAUUGGCAUUUAGUUUCCUCCAUGUCUUUAUGGCUCAUUUCUUUUACUGCUGAAUAAUAUCCCAUAUCCCAGAUAUACUAAAGUUUAUUUAUUUAUUAUUUAUCCAUUCAUGUACCAAAGGACAUUGUGGUUGUAUCUAAGUUUGGGCAAUUAUGGAUAAAACACUAUACGCAUUUGUGUGCACGUUUUUGUGUGGACUGAAGUUUUCAACUCAUUUUGGUAAAUACCAAGAAGCACAAUGGCUAGUUUGUAACAUAAGAGAAUGUUUAGGUUUUUUUUUUUUUUUAAGAAACCAACAAACUGUCUUCUAAAUUGGCUAUACCAUUUUGCAUUCCUACCAGCAGUUAAUGAGAACUCCUGUUACUCUACACCCUGACUAAUUUAGUGUUGUCAUUGUUCUGGACAGCCAGAACACAAGUCAUUUUAAUAGGUAUGUAGUAGUAUCUUCUUGUUUUAAUUUUUAAUUCCCUAAUGACAUAUGAUGUUGAACAUUUUUUCAUAUGCUUACCUGGCAUCUGUAUAUCUUCUUUGAUAAGGUGUCUGUUCAUGCCUUUUGCCCAUUUAAAAAUCAGGUUCAUUUUCUCAUUGUUGAGCUUUAACAGUGCUAUACUUUGGUUUAUUUGACCCUUCCAAAUCUCAUGCUGAAUUGAUCCCCAAUGUUGAAAG
rnacentral:lncRNA from 1 species